rnacentral:rRNA from 1 species
UACGUAGGGUGCAAGCGUUGUCCGGAAUUAUUGGGCGUAAAGAGCUUGUAGGCGGUUUGUCGCGUCUGCUGUGAAAUUUCGGGGCUCAACCCCGAACUUGCAGUGGGUACGGGCAGACUAGAGUGUGGUAGGGAGACUGGAAUUCCUGGUGUAGCGGUGAAAUGCGCAGAUAUCAGGAGGAACACCGAUGGCGAAGGCAGGUCUCUGGGCCAUAACUGACGCUGAGAAGCGAAAGCAUGGGAGCGAACAGGA